ensembl:lncRNA
GCGUCGUCGUUUAGCACAUGGGAGCCAAGCAGCAGAUAAACUGAGGAUUGGGGAAGGGAUUGUGCUCGUUUUUCUUACAACCUACAUUGUAUUGAUGGCAAUGAAAACCAAACAUUACCAUCCAUUGACUGAAUCUGUUUUGAGUGGGGUGUUGUUCAACCCUACACCUUUCCUCUCACCUUUAUCUCCCCUCCAUGGAUCGGGAUAAACUUGUUCACCUGUGGAGAGUGACAACAACAGUGUUACUGAUGAUCGGAUACCCAGGGGGUCCGGUGAAUGCUCCGUGCGCUGAGAACGACACAAAUCCAUGUCACUUCACACAGGCCACACGUCUGUCCACCCAUCCCAAGUCUACCUUUCCUCCCAGUCGGCAAGAAAAAAAAAAAAUCGUUCCCGCCUACCUUUGAUGUAUUCCACCAAGUCGGUGACGCUGCCGUCGGGGCCGAGGUGCUGGCUGUACCCGGGCUGACCGGGCUCUCCAGGAGCCCCCGGGGGCCCUUGGACGAUGCGAUCGGUGUACUCCCUCACUGUGUCUCGUAGCAGGCCGUGGGCUGGGAGAGGAGGACCACGAGGUGGAGGUUAGAGCACUGAAGACGAGGAUCUCAUGCUGCCGGUCCCAACAUGUUCGUGGUCCCCACACAUCGGUGGUCCCCACAUGGAACCAUCGUUCGUUUAAAUUUACAUUCAGGUCAUUUAGCAGACGCUUUCAUCCAAAGCGACUUGCAAUGAGUACAUUUGUCACGACAAACAAUAAAUCGCUGUCAUCAUGACACCCCCUGGCUUGUCCAAAAGCGGCCCUCACGCAUCGAUGCGCGUCGUGGAUUUGAAACACAGCAGUCUCGGACAGGUGCUGCUGACUUUGAGCCGGUCGGCAGCGCCAGCAGAGCAGCACCAAGUGCUCCGUCAGCAGAUUGGGAAUCGCUGAUCUUUCAUCGCUACUUCUCGUGAUCGCUCCCUGUCCUACGCCGUCCUCCCCUACCCCCUAGUACCGUCGUACGCAGUGGCAAAAACCUCAGCGGGACUCGACCGGAGACGCACUCGUUCAUCGGGGCCGUGGCGGACGGCGCGGGGACUCACAUCGUAUGUAUUCCACCAGGUCGGUGGCGUUCCCCGGUUGGCCCGGGGGUCCCGCGGGGCCCGGGGGCCCGUGGACCACCCGGUCGGACCGGUCCCUCGUGGCGUCUCGCAGAAGGCCGUGAGCUGGCGGAGAGACGGGGGGGAGGCAAAGACAAGGCUGUGUUAGACGGGUUUUAAAUAGAGACGGAGCUGAUUCUGUUGAUUACUGCGAGAUAUGCUAAUGAAGCCAGCAUGGGUGCUGCUGAUUGGCCGUUAUCACAGAGGAGUGAUGCUAGGAGUGUUGCUCGUUAAGUUAAUUGUAGGUCUGUACGUGCCCACUGAUUAACUGCGCUGCGUCCCGGCCGUACGUCCCUCACCUCGGAUGUACUCCACCAGGUCGGUGGCGUUUCUAGGGGAGCCGACCCAGCGGCUGGACCCCGUAGGGCCCACGGGGCCCUGGGGCCCAGGGGGUCCGGGGGGCCCCUGAACAACCUGGUCCGAGUGGCCCCUCACCAUGUCCGCCAGAAGGCCGUGGGCUGGGGCGUGCGUCCCUGGCUGGUCCGGUGGUCGUGAGGGGUCCUGGGGGCCGGCUCACCACGCUCUCCCUUGUAGCCCUGGGGUCCAGGAGGCCCCGGGGGCCCGGGGGGCCCGUGCAUGGCGAGCCGCCUCAUAGGGUCGUCUGCAGGGGAGCGGGGCGACGGAGGUGACCGAAAACAGCCAGGACGGUUACGUUAGUG